rnacentral:misc_RNA from 1 species
GGUUUGCAAGAGCUGACACUCCAAGCAGCCUUUUUGCCCAUUUCUCUGAGGUCAUCGUCCACAAUCAGGUGCUGACUCCAUCCUGUAAUCUUCCCUUCUUCUUCUCCCUCCGAUGACUCUGUUGCCAUUUUCUAUUACACUCAGCUGUUGGGAAUGGAUGAAACGUGAUCCGUUGAGUUUAAGCGAUUUGGUGAGAAAAGUGUUUUGACUUGGACCCUCUCAAGCGGAGGCACGAACCCAGUGCGGCUGGCAACACAAAAAAUAAUAGGUAUGUAAGGGAUGAAGUGAAAGAGUGAUAGGAGAAAAG